UAUCAAACUUAGAUGUUACUUCAUGU
rnacentral:piRNA from 1 species